rnacentral:tRNA from 1 species
CAUUAAGAAGCUAAACAGUCCAGCAUUAGCCUUUUAAGCUAAAAAUUGGUGACUCCUAACCACCCUUAAUGA